rnacentral:rRNA from 1 species
CUCCAUGUGUAGCGGUGGAAUGCGUAGAUAUAUGGAAGAACACCAGUGGCGAAGGCGGCUGUCUGGUCUGCAACUGACGCUGAGGCUCGAAAGCAUGGGUAGCGAACAGGAUUAGAUACCCUGGUAGUCCAUGCCGUAAACGAUGAGUGCUAGGUGUUGGAGGGUUUCCGCCCUUCAGUGCCGGAGCUAACGCAUUAAGCACUCCGCCUGGGGAGUACGACCGCAAGGUUGAAACUCAAAGGAAUUGACGGGGGCCCGCACAAGCGGUGGAGCAUGUGGUUUAAUUCGAAGCUACGCGAAGAACCUUACCAGGUCUUGACAUCUUGCGCUAACCUAAGAGAUUAGGCGUUCCCUUCGGGGACGCAAUGAC